UAUAAUUAAUUAGUGUUUGGUCUUGGCUUUGGGUUGAUGGGAGUCGUGAUUUGACACAUUGGUACUAAAGGGGUAAUGGGAGUAAUAAACUUAAAAAGUAUGUUUUAACAGCAGAUUAUGUUAGAGUUAAGGAUUGGGCUAUUAGGUUUUAACUGAAGAUGGCUAAUAAAUUUUCCCAGCACCAGUGGAGGAAUUUGUAAAAAUCGGAAACGAUGAUUCAGGCUAGACGUAAAUGAGGGGGAAAGUAUAGUGCCAGCACCUGCGGUUAAACUAACCCUUAUAUUAACCUUUUCGCAGGGAAGAGAAGGUAAGUUGCUAGAGAGAGAUAUUAUGUAAUAUUUGGUUAAAUAAGUUUCGUAGUGUAUUUUAUGUAUUCUAUAAGCCUAAAUCUUAAAAGUCUGUAUGGAAGACCGGGAUUAGAGACCCCGUUAUUAAUGAUGUAAAUAUGCCUGCGGUAAGUACGAGCAGAAUUGGGCUUAAAAACCAAAAGACUUGGCGGUACGCUAAAUUCGUUCAGGGGAACUUGACGGUUAAAUCGAUAAUCCUCGAAGACCUCACCUUUUCUAGUCUUACUAUACCGCCGUUGCCAGUUGAAAUUUAGAGAUAGUAGAUUUUUGCAUAAUAGGCUUGUUAAUUUAGAUUAGAUCUGUUAGCAGGCCUGGGAAUUCAGGUAAACGUAGUGGAGUAUGAAAAGGGCUUAGUUGAGUUACAUUGUUUUAUUGAGGGGAUGAAGUGUUGAAAGGCCUUUUUGAACUUGGACCUGAUAGUAAACGUCUGAAAUAGAGGGAAGUUGAAUAGUACAAUGGUGUGUGUACAAAUUGCCCGGUACCCCCAGAUAGUCAAGCUGGGGUAAGCCGUAACAUGGUAAUGCUAUUAGAAAAUGGUGU
rnacentral:ncRNA from 1 species